rnacentral:lncRNA from 1 species
AGGGGCGUGCUUGCGGCAACCCUGUAACCGCCGGUGCGCAAGUUGGAGGGGCAAGGGGCUGCCGUGUCCUGGUCUGGAGGCGGCCCAGGCUGCCUUGGUGAUUCUGGCUUCGCGGCCUCAUGGCUUGCGGCCGGUUUGCGCAACGGCCUGCGAACCACCAGGCGCGUCCCCGCCGGCUUGGGUCCGCCCCGAAGCCCAGUCCCUCGGCCUGGCCCGCUAUGCCCUGCACACUGGCGGAGUCUGGCGUGGCGCAGCCCGGCGUGGGGUUCGGCCCCGCCAGGUGGUCAGCCCUUCCUCGGAGUCCAGGUGGCUGGGGGCGCUUCGGAGAGUGGCCAGUUGCCAAAACAAAGGGGAUUUGGUGAUGGAGGCUUUGUUAGAAGGAAUACAAAAUCGAGGGCAUGGUGGGGGAUUUUUGACAUCUUGUGAAGCAGAACUACAGGAGCUCAUGAAACAGAUUGACAUAAUGGUGGCUCAUAAAAAAUCUGAAUGGGAAGGACGUACACAUGCUCUAGAAACUUGCUUGAAAAUCCGUGAACAGGAACUUAAGAGUCUUAGGAGUCAGUUGGAUGUGACACAUAAGGAGGUUGGAAUGUUGCAUCAGCAGGUAGAAGAACAUGAAAAAAUCAAGCAAGAGAUGACCAUGGAAUAUAAGCAGGAGUUGAAGAAACUACAUGAAGAAUUAUGCAUACUGAAGAGAAGCUAUGAAAAGCUUCAGAAAAAGCAAAUGAGGGAAUUCAGAGGAAAUACCAAAAAUCACAGGGAAGAUCGGUCUGAAAUUGAGAGGUUAACUGCAAAAAUAGAGGAAUUCCGUCAGAAAUCGCUGGACUGGGAGAAGCAACGCUUGAUUUAUCAGCAACAGGUAUCUUCACUGGAGGCACAAAGGAAGGCUCUGGCUGAACAAUCAGAGAUAAUUCAGGCUCAGCUUGUCAAUCGGAAACAGAAAUUAGAGUCUGUGGAACUUUCUAGCCAAUCAGAAAUUCAACACUUAAGCAGUAAACUGGAGCGGGCUAAUGACACUAUCUGUGCCAAUGAGUUGGAAAUAGAGCGCCUCACCAUGAGGGUCAAUGACUUGGUUGGAACCAGUAUGACUGUCCUACAGGAGCAGCAGCAAAAAGAAGAAAAAUUGAGGGAAUCUGAAAAACUAUUAGAGGCUCUGCAGGAAGAAAAGAGAGAAUUGAAGGCAGCUCUUCAGUCUCAAGAAAAUCUCAUACAUGAGGCCAGAAUACAAAAGGAGAAGUUACAAGAAAAAGUAAAGGCAACUAACACUCAACAUGCUGUAGAAGCUAUAAGUUUGGAAUCUGUGAGUGCAACGUGUAAACAGCUGAGCCAAGAACUAAUGGAAAAAUAUGAAGAACUGAAGAGGAUGGAAGCACAUAACAAUGAAUACAAAGCAGAGAUUAAGAAGUUGAAAGAACAGAUUUUACAGGGUGAACAAAGUUACAGUUCUGCACUAGAAGGAAUGAAGAUGGAAAUCUCCCAUCUAACUCAGGAGUUACAUCAGCGAGAUAUCACUAUUGCUUCCACCAAAGGUUCUUCCUCAGACAUGGAAAAGCGACUCAGAGCAGAGAUGCAAAAGGCAGAAGACAAAGCAGUAGAGCAUAAGGAGAUUUUGGAUCAGCUGGAGUCACUCAAAUUAGAAAAUCGUCAUCUUUCUGAAAUGGUGAUGAAAUUGGAAUUGGGUUUACAUGAGGUAUUGCCUCCAGCACACUGUUUACAUUCCUACUGUGUCUCAGCAUCUGUUCUCCUGGGAAUAGAACUGGUCCACCUGAACAUAUGAUCUGUGCUGCUGUUGGUGCAGGAGGACAGGAGGGAAAUAAGCUGGAAGCCAUGGAUGUGGAGAGUCUGGCUUCAAGAUGGAGCUUGUUUACCUGCAGGUUGUCCCCCAGGAUGCCCUCACAGCUUGUGCGUGACAAAGAUGUCCUCCGUGUACACAUAAGGUAGCGCUGAGAAGCCACGAGAAAGCACCUAGUGAUUUUAACAUAAACAUUUCCACAGCAUUUUCAAGUUCUGCGAAAAAGCCCGGUGAUAGAUCAGCCUCGCGGUGUGCAGCGCCGGCAGCUCCGCACUUCGGACACCUGGGGGCGCCCGUGCCAUUCCGCCGGCGACUGGGACUCGUCGCCCGGGAAACAAAGAUGGGGAUUUAAAGAAAAGCCUUCAAAAUGCAACUCCGAAUGUCUACCCUGAGCAGCAUGCG